UCUCAACAUAACACCCUGUGUUGGUUUCAAGUUGGCUUCAAAUUCUCUGAAACACUUCCCAUGAAAAGGCCUAGGCUCUAAAAUACUGGCAGUUUCUACUUCCUAUUUUUUGAACACUUGCUCAUGGAAUCCAGCUGCCAUGCCAUGAAGAGGACCAAACAGCCCUACAGAGAGUCUCACAUGGAAAGGAAUCGAGGUUCCUGGCCAACAUCCCAUUUGAGCUCCCAGCCUGGACCCUAAAACACUUCCUGCAGGAUCCUCCACAUACUCUAUUGUCUGCCAGUCAGACGCAGAGGAUCCAGUGGAAUGCUCUUGGGUGUUGAGGAAUGGCAAAGCCACUACAUGAAAGAGCCUGAGUCCCUGAGGAACUGAAUAAAGCAGAUAUACCUCUCCAACCUGCACCCCCACUCACACCACCAACCUCCAAGGACAUCAGCCUGCAUUGGACUUGAUCAACCAGCAUUUCCAGGGAAGACAUGCUAAGUUGCCACCCUCUCCAACUACGAAUCUAUAGACAAGAUUCUUCCCAGCUCCAGCCACCUGUAGGUUCUGCUAAGAAGACCAAUACCCUACAUAAGAAGAGAUACUAUGUGAUAUGGAAUUAAGAGCCAUCAGAACUCAACAAUUCUGACUGCACAAUUAUUAAUGCACACUCUUCUGCCUACCUAGUGCAUAGGCUAGGGGAUAUUCAAAGAGGUCCUUAAGUUGUUGUCCUUAGCGGUCCUCCAGGCACUAUAAAGAUUGAUGACAUUUUUUUUCUUAGAAUAUUUCUGUAAAAGUUCUCAUAAGUAAAGUCUGGGAGCCUCAUUUCUAAUGUUUUCCUUUCUACAGCUGAAUUCAUGAAAAAGCAGAAUCCAAAAUUAUAUUCCUUAAAUAUACAAUAUUUUCAGUCUUUUACACAUAUUGAAGAUCUGUUAACCACCAACAGAUGUAUUAUACAGUGGUUUCCUUUGGACAAAAUUAAAGCUUUCAUCCCCAGAAUCCCUCUAGCUGCUUCAAGGUGUGCUGAGCCCAAAGCAUAAUUUAGUGUUUGCUCCACUGUGGCUAAUUAAAAUAUGCUUUAGGUGGUUCAGCUAUUUUCCCAAGCAACUUGUCCCCCUGAGUUGAUCUAGUUCUUUCCUUCCUUCCUUUUGUUUCUGUGAUUCAUCCAACAAUCAUGUUAUUUCAGAAACCACGGUGCAGAGAAUAAUCAUUAGCCAACUUUAGUUGAAAUGCAACAUUAAUCCUUAAUUUAUUCUUCUGAGGAAAGUCAUGCUUAAGCAUUCUUUCAUUCAUUUUCCAUGAAGAGCUAAGCUUUCAGCCCAAAUUGUGUCAAUGGUAGCUUCCCAAAUGAAAUUCCAGCAUGCUUUCAGACUCAGGCACCACAGGGAUGCAGGUGGAUGAGAAAAAGCUCAAUUUAAAUUGAGUUAGAAACUUCUGGACAUUACUUUCACUGAAUAACCUUGUAGUAAACCCAUCUAAUGAAAAUCAGAUCUCAUUCAGAGCAGGGAAAUUUGCUUUCCUGGAUGAAACUAAAUUGGUCCCAUAAGAUCUAUUACCCCAAGAGCUAAAGGUCCUGUCUACACAGCACUAA
rnacentral:lncRNA from 1 species